UCGUGCUAGAUGGGGAGCUAGCGGUGCCCUGUACCCGUAAUCCGCUAUAGCGGGAUCGAAAACCCUCUUGAGGUUCUGAGCCUUGCGAAACUGCUGGGAAGAAGUGGCGUUGAAGGUCGGGUCCUGCGCGGCAGAAGCCUAUGAACCCCGUCAGGUCCGGAAGGAAGCAGCGGUAAGUAGUCACUUCUGGGCGCCGUAGGGUAACCUGGCUGGAGCUAACUGGUCUCGGUAAGCCGAGAGGCCUGAGUCGAGAGAGGGUGCACGA
rnacentral:SRP_RNA from 1 species